UCUAAAAUCAUCUUUCAAGUUCUGUGUUAAAGAGAGAGUUCAUCACUUUAAGUUUGGUUCGUCGUUUCUCGAAGUUUGGAGUGCUACUACAUCGAGAAGAUAGUCGUUGUAUCCUGGGAGACAGACAUUUAUAAUCCGUAAGCACCGGUGCGGGGUGAAUCUGUCUUAAGGCUAGAGGAUAUAAUCCUUGCCUCGACUUUAAUUUCGUUUAAUUGGGUUUGCGUUUCUCUUCUUCUCUGUUUGUUUAAUUGCAGUUUAUACACAAGAUUGCAAACAAAAAGACCCAAAGCUGCUGGAUGUAAGGUUUCAGAUGAUGAAUUGGUUGUCGUUACUCUUGGUGCUUUAAAUGUUGAAUAUGCUUCAUUUACUACUUCCACUCGUAUUCGUUCUCCUCCUGUCGCAAGUGUUGAACUACAUAAUUUGCUUUCGAGUGAGGAAUUUAUUAUUACUACUAGAUCGAAGGCAUCACAUGAAGCAUCCAAUCGAGCUUUUGCUAAUCAAUAAUCUCAUUUUCGUGGAUCUGGUAGAGGUUUUGGUCGUGGUUACCAUAAUCCUAACACGCGUGGUCGUGGUCGCAAUCAGUCUUUCUCAGGUGUUUUUGGAGAAAUAAACAUGUGUGGAAAAAUUGGCUCGGAAAGUGGUUUUCGUACCCCC